UACGUAGGGUGCGAGCGUUGUCCGGAAUUACUGGGCGUAAAGAGCUCGUAGGUGGUUUGUCGCGUUGUUCGUGAAAACUCACAGCUUAACUGUGGGCGUGCGGGCGAUACGGGCAGACUGGAGUACUGCAGGGGAGACUGGAAUUCCUGGUGUAGCGGUGGAAUGCGCAGAUAUCAGGAGGAACACCGGUGGCGAAGGCGGCUACCUGGACAAAAACUGACGCUGAGGCGCGAAAGCUAGGGGAGCAAACAGG
rnacentral:rRNA from 1 species